rnacentral:hammerhead_ribozyme from 1 species
GCACUGCUGAGGAGUCCCAUACUCGGACGAAACGGCCGUCCAGUAC